rnacentral:rRNA from 1 species
AUUGAACGCUGGCGGCAUGCCUUACACAUGCAAGUCGAACGGCAGCACGGGAGCAAUCCUGGUGGCGAGUGGCGAACGGGUGAGUAAUACAUCGGAACGUGCCCAGUAGUGGGGGAUAGCCCGGCGAAAGCCGGAUUAAUACCGCAUACGACCUGAGGGUGAAAGCGGGGGAUCGCAAGACCUCGCGCUAUUGGAGCGGCCGAUGUCGGAUUAGCUAGUUGGUGGGGUAAAGGCUCACCAAGGCAACGAUCCGUAGCUGGUCUGAGAGGACGACCAGCCACACUGGGACUGAGACACGGCCCAGACUCCUACGGGAGGCAGCAGUGGGGAAUUUUGGACAAUGGGCGCAAGCCUGAUCCAGCCAUGCCGCGUGCGGGAAGAAGGCCUUCGGGUUGUAAACCGCUUUUGUCAGGGAAGAAACGCGCUGGGUUAAUACCUUGGCGUAAUGACGGUACCUGAAGAAUAAGCACCGGCUAACUACGUGCCAGCCGCCGCGGUAAAAC